GAAAUGCGAUAAGUAGUGUGAAUUGCAGAAUUCAGUGAAUCAUCGAAUCUUUGAACGCACAUUGCGCCCUUUGGUAUUCCUUAGGGCAUGCCUGUUCGAGCGUCAUUUAAACCCUUCAAGCUCAGCUUGGUGUUGGGUGACUGUCCGACGCCUCCGGGCGUGGACUCGCCCCAAACUCAUUGGCGGCCGGUACGUAGGCUUCGAGCGCAGCAGAAACGCGAACUCGGGCCCGCGGUGUCGGCUCCCAGAAGCUACACCCACCCAGUUUGACCUCGGAUCAGGUAGGGAUACCCGCUGAACUUAAGC
rnacentral:misc_RNA from 1 species